GCUGAUGGUGCUGCUGCUGCUGACACUGCUCAUGCUGCUGACGCUGCUGCUGUCCGAAUUCCUCUUGCUCCUGCUGUACACAGCCACCUUGUGCUCCCUGUCAGCCAGAUCAAGCAGCUGCUUCAGGUCAAGGACCUCAUGGCUGAUUCUGCUCAAGUCGUCGCCGUCAGGUUAGAGCAUGAACACAAAACACAAGCUUAUGCACAGUUGGUGACUUGGUAGUUUGGCACUUUGGCCACCGGAUCCAUUCCAUUCCUCCAAUCCAACGAAGCACCGGUGGCCAUGGUGUUAAUGGUGUAUUUGGUGUCCGUGAGCUGUAGGCGCGGCGCUAUGUGUACAGGUGGCAAGAGCCUCUCUGUACAGCCAGACGGUGGGGCCCACCUGUCAGCGAGAGAAGCUAGCGAGAGAAAUGGAGAGUAGUAGAGCCAAGCCAAGUGAGUCGGUCGGUCGGUUAGGUGGUUGGUCGGGGUCCGGGUGGUUGACGGGUUGAUUCGAUUCGACCCGAGAUGCGUACGUCUCGGCUGCAUCUACGGCCGCUCGUACUCACUCCGUAUUUUGCACGUAUAUAUAUAUAUUCUGAUUUUUUUCUGCAAA